AGCAGCCGCGGUAAUUCCAGCUCCAAUAGCGUAUAUUAAAGUUGUUGCAGUUAAAAAGCUCGUAGUUGAAUUUCGGGGUCAAUACGUCGGUCGUGCCUCGGUACGUACUAACGUUAUUGAUCCCUCCCUUCUGACGAACCGUGAUGUCAUUAAUUUGGUGUUGCGGGGAAUCAGGACCAUUACCUUGAAAAAAUUAAGAGUGUUUAAAGCAGGCAAUCGCUCGAAUACAUUAGCAUGGAAUAAUGAAAUAGGACGUUCGAACCUAUUUUGUUGGUUUCUAGGAUCGACGUAAUGAUUAAUAGGGAUAGUUGGGGGCAUUAGUAUUCAAUUGUCAGAGGUGAAAUUCUUGGAUUUAUUGAAGACUAACUACUGCGAAAGCAUUUGCCAAGGAUGUUUUCAUUAAUCAAGAACGAAAGUUAGGGGAUCGAAGACGAUCAGAUACCGUCGUAGUCUUAACCAUAAACUAUGCCGACUAGGGAUCGGAUGAUGUUAAUUUUAUAAUGACUCAUUCGGCGCCUUA
rnacentral:rRNA from 1 species